UUCACCGCGAGGUGAAAUCUGAAGGAAACCGAAGGCAAACCACUGGCCCGACGAACAGGAAUCGCAUAGGAGGCGGCCAUAGCGGGUGAGGUAGCCCAUACUGCCAAAGCCCAAUACUUACACGGAAGCGAUGGACGUAAAUGCGGCGGGUAUAAGUGGGAAGGUCACGCGC
rfam:Hahella chejuensis KCTC 2396, complete genome.